rnacentral:misc_RNA from 1 species
GAUGAAGAACGCAGCGAAAUGCGAUACUUGGUGUGAAUUGCAGAAUCCCGUGAACCAUCGAGUCUUUGAACGCAAGUUGCGCCCGAAGCCAUUAGGCCGAGGGCACGCCUGCCUGGGCGUCACACGUCGUUGCCCCCCCAUCUACUCCUUCGGGAUUGCGGGGGGCGGAUGAUGGCCUCCCGUGCGCCUCGUCGCGCGGUUGGCAUAAAUGCCAAGUCCUCGGCGACGCACGCCACGACAAUCGGUGGUUGCGAAACCUCGGUUGCCCGUCGUGUGCGGUCGUCGCGCAUCGAGGGCUCGAAAAAAUUGCCGGGCUCCGGCUCGGCUUUCAACGCGACCCCAGGUCAGGCGGGGUUACCCGCUGAAUUUAAGCAUAUAAAUAAGCGGAGGA